GUGCUCGCUUCGACAGCACACAUACUAAAACUGGAGUAACACUGAGAAGAUCAUCAUGGCCCCUGUGUACAGGUGACAUGUAAAUUCAUGAAAUGUUCCAUAUUUUU